rnacentral:ncRNA from 1 species
UUAGUUGAUCUUAUUAGUAGUCAUAUGCUUGUCUCAAAGAUUAAGCCAUGAAUGUAUAAAUAUAAAUUGUUUUAUAUUGUGAAAUUGUGAAUGGCUUAUUAAAUAAAUAAUAGUUUAUUUGAUAGUACCUUACUACUCAGAUAACUAUAGUAAUUCUAUAAAUAAUAUGUGUAAAGAGUCCUGACCUUCAAAAGGGAUGCACUUACUAGAUUCAAGACUAAUGCAUACUCAUUUAUAUUCUCAGUGGUUCAUGAUAACUUGUCAAAUCAUAUGGUCCUCGUGUCAGUGAUACUUAAAUUAAAUUUCUACCCUAUCAACUUUUGAUGGUAGGAUAUAAUAGGGAAUUAGGGUUUGAUUUUGAGAUACAGCUACCACAUCUAGGGAAGGUAGCAAACGCACAAAUUAUCCAAUUCUGACAUUGGGAGGUACUGACAAUAAAUAAUAAUACUGGGCUUCAAAUUUUGGUAAUUGGAAUGAGUACAAUAUAAAUCUCUUAAGGAAGAUUCAUUAGAGGGCAAGUCUAGUGCCAAUAGCUAUAGUAAUUCUAAUUCUAAUAACAUGUUAUUAUAGUUAAAAAGCUCAUUUGGAUCUCAGGACAAGAUGAAUGGUUUCCCUAUAAGCACUAGUCACCCCAUUCUAUGAGUCAAUGAUGCUAAUUUGAUCUUUACUGGCUAAUGUGGAGUCGACAAUGUUAUUUUGAAAAAAUUAAAGUACCCAAAACAGACUCAUACUCUAAAUACAUUAGUAUGGAGUAAUGUAAUAGGACUCUGAUCCUGUUGUGUUGGUCUCCAAGAUAUGAGUAAUGAUUAGUAGGGACAAUUGGGGGCAUUUGUACUCUAUUGUUAGAGAUGAAAUUCUUAAGCAUUUGCUGAGGAUGCUUUUAUUAAUCAAGAAUGAAAGUUAGGAGCUCAAAUACGAUUAAAUACCAUUUUAGUCUUAACCAUAGAUGAUGAUGAUUAGGGAUUGGCAGAUGUUAUUUGGAUAACAACGCCAUCACCUCAUGAAAAAUCAAAGUCUUUGCGUUCCA